GAACCAACAGGGAUUGCCUCAGUAACGGCGAGUGAAGCGGCAACAGCUCAAAUUUGAAAUCUGGCCCUCUCAGGGUCCGAGUUGUAAUUUGGAGAAGAUGCUUCGGGUGUGGCCCCGGUCUAAGUUCCUUGGAACAGGACGUCACAGAGGGUGAGAAUCCCGUACGUGACCGGUGGCCGCCCCCGUGUGAAGCUCUUUCGACGAGUCGAGUUGUUUGGGAAUGCAGCUCAAAAUGGGUGGUAAAUUUCAUCUAAAGCUAAAUAUUGGCCAGAGACCGAUAGCGCACAAGUAGAGUGAUCGAAAGAUGAAAAGCACUUUGGAAAGAGAGUUAAACAGUACGUGAAAUUGUUGAAAGGGAAGCGCUUGCAACCAGACUUGCGCGCGGCCGAUCAUCCGGUGUUCGCACCGGUGCACUCGGUCGCGCUCAGGCCAGCAUCGGUUUGGGUGGCUGGAUAAAGGCCUCGGGAAUGUGGCUCCCCUCGGGGAGUGUUAUAGCCCGAGGUGCAAUGCAGCCUACCCGGACCGAGGACCGCGCUUCGGCUAGGAUGCUGGCGUAAUGGUUGUAAGCGACCCGUCUU
rnacentral:rRNA from 1 species